GGGGUUGUAGCUCAGUGGUAGAGCGCUUGCCUUGUACGCAUGCUGCCCUA
rnacentral:tRNA from 1 species